rnacentral:rRNA from 1 species
GAUACUACCCUAGCUGUGUUGGCUUUCUAACCCGCACCACUUAUCGGGGUGGGAGACAGUGUCAGGCGGGCAGUUUGACUGGGGCGGUCGCCUCCUAAAAGGUAACGGAGGCGCUCAAAGGUUCCCUCAGAAUGGUUGGAAAUCAUUCAUAGAGUGUAAAGGCAUAAGGGAGCUUGACUGCGAGACCUACAAGUCGAGCA